GACGAACGCUGGCGGCGUGCCUAAUACAUGCAAGUAGAACGCUGAAGAGAGGAGCCUGCUCUUCUUGGAUGAGUUGCGAACGGGUGAGUAACGCGUAGGUAACCGGCCUGGUAGCGGGGGAUAACUAUUGGAAACGAUAGCUAAUACCGCAUAAUAGCAGUUAUUGCAUGAUAACUGUUUGAAAGGUGCAAAUGCAUCACUACCAGAUGGACCUGCGUUGUAUUAGCUAGUUGGUGAGGUAACGGCUCACCAAGGCGACGAUACAUAGCCGACCUGAGAGGGUGAUCGGCCACACUGGGACUGAGACACGGCCCAGACUCCUACGGGAGGCAGCAGUAGGGAAUCUUCGGCAAGGACGGAAGUCUGACCCGAGCAACGCCGCGUGAGUGAAGAAGGUUUUCGGUAUCGUAAAGCUCUGUUGUAAGAGAAGAACGAGUGUGAGAGUGGAAAGUUCACAC
rnacentral:rRNA from 1 species